GAGUGAGGGCGAGACAGAGCCGGCUACCGUGGAGUCGUUUCCCUUACUUGCAGACCGUUUCACCCCCGUGUGCAUAGGCAUCAUUUUAACCGGGGACGCCGGGGACAUGUCCCCGGCAAAAUUUGUGAUUGGCAGCUGUGUCCCCCCCACUUUCAAAAAAUGAGUUGUUUUUUUUACCAGCUCAGAUCGUAAACCUACGUCUGCUCCCAGCAGAUUUUUUUAAUGUCGCAACUGGCAUCUAAUUAUUUAUACUUGAGCUUUAAAUAAUAAUAAAACCGUAAUCAAUUAAUUAAUUUGUAACAUUUCUGAAAAUGUGCCCUGCGUUAUGCUGAGUACUCUACCCUGCUGUCCUGCAUGCAGCUGUCAGCAGUUGUGAUAAGCAGGAGAGCACAUCACCCACACUGCUCAAGAAUCCCUUAUUCUUGUUUAGCUCCAAGAGGUAAGCAAUGUUAUAUUUUAUUUAACACCAAAAGAAGGUGAUAUUUUUAUGCAAUUAAUGCAGGGGUCCUUCAGGCGUGCUUACAGCCACCCCAGCUGUUAGCAUGUAGCUGGUGGAGGAGGCUGUGAUUAGUGGAUGGUGAGCCUGACCUAAUAAGACUAGGCUAAACAAAGAUGUGCAGCACUCAUGCUGAUGCCACGGCCGUCAGACGUGAUGUUAUUGGUUAAGUUGGUGGUUCUGAAGAGAAGACAGUCCACAUGGCCAAUCUCACUUCUCUAACUGCAGAAGAGGAGCUCCAGAUAAAAUUUCUACAUGCGGUCCUCUUUCAGCGGUUUUAGCUCAUGGAAAGCUUCAGUUACUAUUUAAAAAUUCUCAACACAAGUAGUAGAUCAAUUAAGGCUAUACAAAUAAAGUUAACUCCUUUAAGUCCUGUCCUGCUGUAAAGCAACCAGAACUGACGUCUGAGUACAGAAAACAGUUUUACUCUCACAGGUAGAGCGUUAUAGAUUCAGUCGUAAUCCUACACCUGAUAUCUAAACUUUAUUAGAGAUGCUUUUGGUUGUUUUUGUUCCCAAAGGACACGGAGACGGAGAGGAAAGAGAAAGGGGGAGCGGAAAGGGAGAGAUGGGGAGAGUUCGCAAAAAUAAACAAUAAAGGAUGAACAAGAAGCAGCUUCUAGAUCUGCAGAAAGAGAGACACAAAUCCAACAGAACCAGAACAUCACUAACAGUUCUAAUGGAUGGUUGGUUGUGUUUUUGUCAUCCAGACUUUCAUCUCCUUGCUCUCUCAGCCUCUCUCUGAAUUUUAUUGAUACGUUACAGGCCAUAAGGGUGACUAUAAGACCAGUCUCUGAACCAGCCUGGACACACAAUCGACCUCGUCACAGUCUGGUUAGUGAGAGGAGGGUCAUCCGAUGAAGCCUGGGUGGCUGGACUGGCUCCUGCCUGGGCAGAAGUCAGGGGCUGACAGUCCAUCACAGGUGGUGUCUGUGUGCCGUAGGGCUGCGCUGCAGUGGGAUCAUAGAGCGGCUCCGGCUGCAGGUGACGUCGGUUCCGACGCAGCGUGUCCCCAUCCUGUGUGCGUAAGAUGUAGGAUCUCGGGCUGAUGUUCUCUCCGGUCAUGACUACCGGUGAAGCCCGCAAUACCUGAGGGUCCAGCUUGGACAGCACUCUGUCCCCAGGGCGCAGUGGUGGCAGUGAUCUGGAUCCAUGGCAAUGAUUGUAGAAGUAAGCCUGCUUUGCCUUUCCUCUUCUGUCAUUCUCUCUCACCACUGAUUGAUCGGGCCAUUUGGGUUGGAGAUUUUUACUCAGGGCUCCGCCGGGCUAUAACCUGUGGUGGAGCAGGGUGUGGAUCUGUAGACCAUCAGGGCCAUCACAGGGUCCUAUUGCUUCAGUAUUUUUUUGGCAUUUUGCACGGCCCAUUCUGCAUGGCAGUUACCUUGUGGGUGGUGGGGGCUCGAGGUGCAGUGCUUGAAGUCCAGACUCUUGGAAAACUCUGGGAACUCCGGGAAUUGGGAGGGAAACCUGCCUGACAGUAAAUACUGCAUAAGGUGCAACAUUUUUUUUUCAGCUCUAUUUUUACUGGUUCUGUCUUAAAGUUCAAUGGUCACCAAAUGGUCCCCCGCAUGGCUGGGAUUGUUGGUAAAUUGCCUCCUCAAUUCUUCUCACCAGGUUCAUUUCCACAGAUUUUUCUCUGCUCAGCUGUUCACUUAUCUCCCAUGUGCAACAUAUGCUGUGAGUGGAUAUUUCUUGCCUUUUUAGGUGACUGAGCUCUGGAUCCGGCCAAUGCAUUUUAUCCGGCCGAUGCUUUUUAUCUUCCCCCCUGGGCUGUCCAAUGGGAUGUGUGUUGGCUGCAGCUGUGGGGUAGGUGUGAUUAAAAGGUAAGCUUCUUCGCUGAUGAUUGUUACGUCCACCCCGGUGUCUAUUUUAAACUCCAUCGGCGUCAAACCCAUCAGCAGCUUGAUGAACCAGUGUUCAUUCUCCCCCGCCGUUGUGUGUGCUGGUGAAAGCAUGCGCGUUGAUGUAUGACGUUACUUCUGGGAAUUAAGUACUCGUUGAAUUUGGCUAGCACUCGGUUAAAAUCAUCUCCGUGAGCCACGUCGUCAAAGACGAAGAACCGGAAGAUGUUUUCGGCUUCUUGCCCCAUGGCGUAUAUCAGACAGCUGACCUGAACUGCUCCAUCAUCUCUCCCCCAGCUUCAUCGCCGUCCAGUAGUGGAGGAAACGUUGACGCCAUUCGGACCAUUUCCCUGGCUUACCGAAAGCAAAGCUGGAUGGCGGAUUGAAUUUGGCCACGGCAUCUCAGUAGCUCCUUCUUUCGUGUACUUCUGACACCAUGUGUAGUGAAUGAGGAGACUUGCCGUACUGUUUGACUCACUUUUAACAACAACUCUAACACACGCACAGCUACUACUACAGUUUCAGUCCCACAACUUCCGGGUCGACGUAAAGCGUGUCACAAAGGUCCAUGCAUACCCCUGAUUAAAACUAAACAUCAGUGUGGGUUAACACUGGAUAUGACAUUCAACAGACUUAGAAAGAUCAGAUGAAGAACAAACUUUAGCAGACUACAUGAGAAAAAUGCUCAGCACAAAAGAAAUGAAAAAAUAACUUUCACUGCCAGCAGAUUCCUUGUCUCCACAGGAACAAGAACCAGUGAAACCUGGGGACUGGGUGUCAAAGUCAUCAAAAGGAAAAGCGUGGUCCAGUCAAAAGUGGGAGGGACCAUUCCAAGAACUCCUGACCACUCCCACAGCAGUGAAGAUAGCUGAAAGAUCAACAUGGAUCCAUCUCAGUCACUGUAAGCUGCAGCGAGUCCUGGAUGACUAACAACUAGGGAAGAGGUAAAGCCUGACUCCAAGGGGGAAGUGACCUUAUAGUGGUCUCCCCGUCUCAACGUCAGUGAAGACUCCAGAGGCCUUUUUCCUAAGUUAAAGUUGAUCGCCAAAGGAGCUCUGUUAGCCAAGCCGCAAACAUGGAGCCAAACAAGAAGUGUUGGUUCGCUACCGGCGUGUUGAUGCUGGUAGGAAUAAUCAUAACUUUGUUGCUGGUCUAUGAGAAAGAGGUUAAGGAUGUUCAUAAUCACAACAAACACAUGACCUCUCCUAAAAAACACGGUGGGUUCCCCAUGAGUUUUCCACCAACUCCUGGUGGAAGUUCAUGAACUUCACAGCCAAAGUGAACAACAUGUCUAACUGCUACACCUGCUCACACUUGGCCCCAACUUCCAUCACUCCCAAGCCUGGUAGUGACCAGCCACCUCCCAGACAAGUUUUUCCCUGUCUGUGUGGUAGGAAACGGAUGUAGAAGGGUGGGGAACACCCCCACCCCCCACCCCCACCCCCACCCACCCACCACCACCACCCCAACAGCAACCUCCUCCUUUUUCAAGACUUCUCACAUAAUGUGACUCUUAGGAACCAACGGUGCACCUACAACAAGGUCGACCACCGGUUACUCCUGAACAACAGCACCACCAACUGCUCUCAACUAACCCCGCCUCCCCAGGGCACCAGAGUUUUGAGUGACUACUACUGGCUUUGUGACGACAAAGCCUGGAUCUCCCCACCGCACAACUGGGGAAGUGUGUGUGUGUGUGUGUGUGUGUGUG